rnacentral:rRNA from 1 species
GAUGAACGCUGGCGGCGUGCCUAAUACAUGCAAGUCGAGCGAACGGACGAGAAGCUUGCUUCUCUGAUGUUAGCGGCGGACGGGUGAGUAACACGUGGAUAACCUACCUAUAAGACUGGGAUAACUUCGGGAAACCGGAGCUAAUACCGGAUAAUAUUUUGAACCGCAUGGUUCAAAAGUGAAAGACGGUCUUGCUGUCACUUAUAGAUGGAUCCGCGCUGCAUUAGCUAGUUGGUAAGGUAACGGCUUACCAAGGCAACGAUGCAUAGCCGACCUGAGAGGGUGAUCGGCCACACUGGAACUGAGACACGGUCCAGACUCCUACGGGAGGCAGCAGUAGGGAAUCUUCCGCAAUGGGCGAAAGCCUGACGGAGCAACGCCGCGUGAGUGAUGAAGGUCUUCGGAUCGUAAAACUCUGUUAUUAGGGAAGAACAUAUGUGUAAGUAACUGUGCACAUCUUGACGGUACCUAAUCAGAAAGCCACGGCUAACUACGUGCCAGCAGCCGCGGUAAUACGUAGGUGGCAAGCGUUAUCCGGAAUUAUUGGGCGUAAAGCGCGCGUANGCGGUUUUUUAAGUCUGAUGUGAAAGCCCACGGCUCAACCGUGGAGGGUCAUUGGAAACUGGAAAACUUGAGUGCAGAAGAGGAAAGUGGAAUUCCAUGUGUAGCGGUGAAAUGCGCAGAGAUAUGGAGGAACACCAGUGGCGAAGGCGACUUUCUGGUCUGUAACUGACGCUGAUGUGCGAAAGCGUGGGGAUCAAACAGGAUUAGAUACCCUGGUAGUCCACGCCGUAAACGAUGAGUGCUAAGUGUUAGGGGGUUUCCGCCCCUUAGUGCUGCAGCUAACGCAUUAAGCACUCCGCCUGGGGAGUACGACCGCAAGGUUGAAACUCAAAGGAAUUGACGGGGACCCGCACAAGCGGUGGAGCAUGUGGUUUAAUUCGAAGCAACGCGAAGAACCUUACCAAAUCUUGACAUCCUUUGACAACUCUAGAGAUAGAGCCUUCCCCUUCGGGGGACAAAGUGACAGGUGGUGCAUGGUUGUCGUCAGCUCGUGUCGUGAGAUGUUGGGUUAAGUCCCGCAACGAGCGCAACCCUUAAGCUUAGUUGCCAUCAUUAAGUUGGGCACUCUAAGUUGACUGCCGGUGACAAACCGGAGGAAGGUGGGGAUGACGUCAAAUCAUCAUGCCCCUUAUGAUUUGGGCUACACACGUGCUACAAUGGACAAUACAAAGGGCAGCGAAACCGCGAGGUCAAGCAAAUCCCAUAAAGUUGUUCUCAGUUCGGAUUGUAGUCUGCAACUCGACUACAUGAAGCUGGAAUCGCUAGUAAUCGUAGAUCAGCAUGCUGCGGAGAAUACCGUUCCCGGGUCU